rnacentral:rRNA from 1 species
UACACGGUGGAUGCCCUGGCAGUCAGAGGCGAUGAAGGACGUGCUAAUCUGCGAUAAGCGUCGGUAAGGUGAUAUGAACCGUUAUAACCGGCGAUUUCCGAAUGGGGAAACCCAGUGUGAUUCGUCACACUAUCAUUAACUGAAUCCAUAGGUUAAUGAGGCGAACCGGGGGAACUGAAACAUCUAAGUACCCCGAGGAAAAGAAAUCAACCGAGAUUCCCCCAGUAGCGGCGAGCGAACGGGGAGCAGCCCAGAGCCUGAAUCAGUGUGUGUGUUAGUGGAAGCGUCUGGAAAGGCGCGCGAUACAGGGUGACAGCCCCGUACACAAAAAUGCACAUGCUGUGAGCUCGAUGAGUAGGGCGGGACACGUGGUAUCCUGUCUGAAUAUGGGGGGACCAUCCUCCAAGGCUAAAUACUCCUGACUGACCGAUAGUGAACCAGUACCGUGAGGGAAAGGCGAAAAGAACCCCGGCGAGGGGAGUGAAAAAGAACCUGAAACCGUGUACGUACAAGCAGUGGGAGCACGCUUAGGCGUGUGACUGCGUACCUUUUGUAUAAUGGGUCAGCGACUUAUAUUCUGUAGCAAGGUUAACCGAAUAGGGGAGCCGAAGGGAAACCGAGUCU